AUACAUCAUACAUCAUACAUAGUAUUGAAGUUCGAAAACAAAGUUUGGAUGUUCGGAUGUUCAGAAAGACAAAAUUUUUUUUCUCUUGACGUCUUCAAUCUAUAGUGAUCAGCUAGCCAAAUUCCUCAGUCUGGAAACAACCGCGCGGUAGAGCGGACGUGUGAGAACCGCGCUCCGCAGAUUUCGAGUACCGGGUUCUCUACCUCCUGGAUUCUGCGCUCCGGGUCCGUUUCGUGGUGCUACUCGAGUUCCAGGAGAAGCGCUACGUAAUUCUGGCUGUCCAGGUUCUUGACCUGGUGAUUUUUGACCUUCCGGACUAAUUUUCAAGUUUACAAGUUUGAUUAUUGAAAACGUCAUGUUUUGUACCAUCAAACCAAAAUGCAUGUUUCAGAUAACACUUUGAAUCGGAAAAAACCGAGCGACCAGGACCAACAAAUUGCAAUUGACAAAAAUUACGCACUCCAUCUUUCCGGCCAAUUCGAGAUUCCAGCGACGAGGUGCUUCAAUGACCAACUAAUGAUUUCGCCAUUUUGCGACAAUUGAUGUAUUCGAGGUAUGACCCGAGGUGGUUGGAGGUGGUCGGAAGUGUUUAAGGGAGGUUGCGGGGGAUCGAGGUGGAUGAGGAGAAGGACGGAAAGGAGGAGGAGUAGAUAGAUGAGGAGAAAAAAGUGGACGAGGAGGACGAGGAUAACGAGGAUUUCUGCACUUGAUCGAGGUAUAACCCGAGGUGGUUAGCCGUGGUCGUUAGAGGUGGUUGGCAGCGGUUGGAGGUGAUCGGAGGUGGACGAGGAGGAGGACGAGAAAGACGAGGAUUUGUGCUCGGUAUAACCCGAGGUAGUUCGCGGUGGUUGCGGGUGAUCGAGGUAGGCGAGGAGGAGGACGAGGAUGACGAGGACUUGUACACU